rnacentral:rRNA from 1 species
GACGAACGCUGGCGGCGUGCUUAACACAUGCAAGUCGAACGGAAAGGCCCUGCUUUUGUGGGGUGCUCGAGUGGCGAACGGGUGAGUAACACGUGAGUAACCUGCCCUUGUCUUUGGGAUAACUUCAGGAAACUGGGGCUAAUACCGGAUAGGAGCUCCUGCUGCAUGGUGGGGGUUGGAAAGUUUCGGUGGUUGGGGAUGGACUCGCGGCUUAUCAGCUUGUUGGUGGGGUAGUGGCUUACCAAGGCUUUGACGGGUAGCCGGCCUGAGAGGGUGACCGGCCACAUUGGGACUGAGAUACGGCCCAGACUCCUACGGGAGGCAGCAGUGGGGAAUAUUGCACAAUGGGCGGAAGCCUAAUGCAGCAACGCCGCGUGCGGGAUGACGGCCUUCGGGUUGUAAACCGCUUUCGCCUGUGACGAAGCGUGAGUGACGGUAAUGGGUAAAGAAGCACCGGCUAACUACGUG